AACCUAGCACACCUGCGGUGUGUACCUGCGGAAGGAUCAUUACAGAGUUAUCCAACUCCCAAACCCAUGUGAACUUAUCUCUUUGUUGCCUCGGCGCAAGCUACCCGGGACCCCGCGCCCCGGGCGGCCCGCCGGCGGACAAACCAAAACUCUUGUUAUCUUAGUUGAUUCUCUGAGCGUCUUAUUUAAUAAGUCAAAACUUUUAGCAAUGGAUCU
rnacentral:misc_RNA from 1 species